AGCGUCUCCAGCUGAAGCCAAUGCAGCCCUCCGGCUCUCCGCGAAGAAGUUCCCUGCCCCGAUGAGCCCCCGCCGUGCGUCCCCGACUAUCCCCAGGCGGGCGUGGGGCACCGGGCCCAGCGCCGACGAUCGCUGCCGUUUUGCCCUUGGGAGUAGGAUGUGGUGAAAGGAUGGGGCUUCUCCCUUACGGGGCUCACAAUGGCCAGAGAAGAUUCCGUGAAGUGUCUGCGCUGCCUGCUCUACGCCCUCAAUCUGCUCUUUUGGAAUCAUCACAUUCCACUUCUAAAAGGAGCUUUAAAGAUGGCCUGGUUGAACGUCCUUCCUUUGUGAGUGAGGAAAUUAAGUGCAGAUUAAGUGACUUGCCAAAGAUCAGAUAGUCCAAUGGUGGCAGUGCCAGGAACAGAAUUCAGCUUUCUUGCCCCUAGACAGUGUCUUUCACUUGACCCUUACUGAGUUUUGAACCUUAGAAUUACUAAGAUUGUUGUUGUUGUUGUUUAAUAAAGAAUAAAGCUU
rnacentral:lncRNA from 10 species